GACGAACGCUGGCGGCAUGCCUAACACAUGCAAGUCGAGCGAGCAGAUCCCUUCGGGGUGAAGCUAGCGGCGGACGGGUGAGUAACACGUGGGCAACCUGCCUCAUAGAGGGGAAUAGCCUUCCGAAAGGAAGAUUAAUACCGCAUAAGAUUGUAGCUUCGCAUGAAGUAGCAAUUAAAGGAGCAAUCCACUAUGAGAUGGGCCCGCGGCGCAUUAGCUAGUUGGUGAGGUAACGGCUCACCAAGGCGACGAUGCGCAGCCGACCUGAGAGGGUGAUCGGCCACAUUGGGACUGAGACACGGCCCAGACUCCUACGGGAGGCAGCAGUGGGGAAUAUUGCACAAUGGGGGAAACCCUGAUGCAGCAAUGCCGCGUGAGUGAUGACGGCCUUCGGGUUGUAAAGCUCUGUCUUCGGGGACGAUAAUGACGGUACCCGAGGAGGAAGCCACGGCUAACUACGUGCCAGCAGCCGCAGUAA
rnacentral:rRNA from 1 species